rnacentral:rRNA from 1 species
UACGGAGGGAGCUAGCGUUGUUCGGAAUUACUGGGCGUAAAGCGCACGUAGGUGGCUAUUCAAGUCAGAGGUGAAAGCCCGGGGCUCAACUCCGGAACUGCCUUUGAAACUAGGUAGCUAGAAUCUUGGAGAGGCGAGUGGAAUUCCGAGUGUAGAGGUGAAAUUCGUAGAUAUUCGGAAGAACACCAGUAGCGAAGGCGACUCGCUGGACAAGUAUUGACGCUGAGGUGCGAAAGCGUGGGGAGCAAACAGG